UGUGCUUUGGCACUUGCUGAACAACCAAAGAGGGUAAUUUCAACCAUGGACAUUAUGACAAUUGUAAAAAUUAGCUUUCUCACAUUUAUGUUAAUAAUGAUAAUGAAAGAUGGCUUCAGAUUUGGAGAUAAUAACAGAUUCCUCCUGUCUGUUAGGGACGGGAUGGUUAGCGUCGAAAUUAUCACACAUUCUACAUUCACUUUUAACUUAACAGAAUAAACUGGUCAAAUAAUGAACAAACUUGGAUUCCUAUGGCUUUGGAUUUCAUUUUAGGUCUAAUGUCAUAGUCAGAUUUAUACAUCAAUCUGUCUCAUAUGUUAAAUUAAUUAAUGAAUUAUUUAUAUAUAUAUAUGUAUAUAUACAUAUAUAUAUACCUGGUUCAUAAAAGUUGCAGUUGUCAUAGAAAGUCCAUGGUUGUAAAAUUACCCACUGUUCAGCAGUGUCCCGAAGAGAGAUUUUGUCAAUCCGAAACAACACCUUGUGUUCGGUUGUCUGGAGCAGAUAUCUAGGGGCAGGAGAGGUGCUGAAACCUUGGACAAAACAUCUACAUCAAGGACCUGUACCUCUCACUGCAUCUCUGCACCAUACUGGAAAACAUCUACAGCAAAUCUGCUCCAUGUCUGCACACUUGAUGUGUGCGUGACUUGACAAUAUUCAAUCUCUCUUCGUGGGGAGUCGUGGCCUAAUGGUUAGAAAGUCGGGCUUGUAUCUCGAGAGUUGCCAGCUUGAGGCUCACGGCCGGCAGGCUACGACCGAUGUGCCCUUGAGCAAGGCACCUAUCCCCUAUUGCUCCCCGGGCUGCAGUGACAGCUGCCCACUGCUCCGUGUGUUUUUAUCACUCACCGGAUGGGUUAAAUGCAGAGGUCACCAUAUAUUGGUCAUUAUGUCACCUUACAUGUAUAACAAAAAAAUUAAAAAUAUAACACUUUUGAUGAUUCUGGAAACAAAAAUAAAUAAUAAACUCUUUUUUCUCUUUCA